CACGUAGGGUGCGAGCGUUGUCCGGAAUUAUUGGGCGUAAAGAGCUCGUAGGCGGUGUGUCGCGUCGGCCGUGAAAACCUGCAGCUUAACUGUGGGCUUGCGGUCGAUACGGGCAGGCUAGAGUUCGGUAGGGGAGUCUGGAAUUCCUGGUGUAGCGGUGAAAUGCGCAGAUAUCAGGAGGAACACCGGUGGCGAAGGCGGGACUCUGGGCCGAUACUGACGCUGAGGAGCGAAAGCGUGGGGAGCGAACAGG
rnacentral:rRNA from 1 species